rnacentral:rRNA from 1 species
GAUGAACGCUGGCGGCGUGCCUAAUACAUGCAAGUCGAGCGAACGGACGAGAAGCUUGCUUCUCUGAUGUUAGCGGCGGACGGGUGAGUAACACGUGGAUAACCUACCUAUAAGACUGGGAUAACUUCGGGAAACCGGAGCUAAUACCGGAUAAUAUUUUGAACCGCAUGGUUCAAGAGUGAAAGACGGUCUUGCUGUCACUUAUAGAUGGAUCCGCGCUGCAUUAGCUAGUUGGUAAGGUAACGGCUUACCAAGGCAACGAUGCAUAGCCGACCUGAGAGGGUGAUCGGCCAAACUGGAACUGAGACACGAUCAAGACUCCUACGGAAGGAAGAAGUAGGGAAUCUUCCGCAAUGGGCGAAAGCCUGACGGAGAAACGCCGCGUGAGUGAUGAAGGUCUUCGGAUCGUAAAACUCUGUUAUUAGGGAAGAACAUAUGUGUAAGUAACUGUGCACAUAUUGACGGUACCUAAUCAGAAAGCCACGGCUAACUACGUG